CGGUAACGCGGGGCAACCUGGCGACGAGUGGCGAACGGGUGAGUAAUGCAUCGGAACGUGUCCUGUAGUGGGGGAUAGCCCGGCGAAAGUCGGAUUAAUACCGCAUACGACCUACGGGUGAAAGCGGGGACCGCAAGGCCUCGCGCUAUAGGAGCGGCCGAUGUCGGAUUAGCUAGUUGGUGGGGUAAAAGCCUACCAAGGCGACGAUCCGUAGCUGGUCUGAGAGGACGACCAGCCACACUGGGACUGAGACACGGCCCACACUCCUACGGGAGGCAGCAGUGGGGAAUUUUGGACAAUGGGGGCAACCCUGAUCCAGCCAUGCCGCGUGCGGGAAGAAGGCCUUCGGGUUGUAAACCGCUUUUGUCAGGGAAGAAACGCGUCGGGCUAAUACCCCGGCGUAAUGACGGUACCUGAAGAAUAAGCACCGGCUAACUACGUGCCAACAGCCGCGGUAAUACGUAGGGUGCAAGCGUUAAUCGGAAUUACUGGGCGUAAAGCGUGCGCAGGUGGUUGUGCAAGACAGAUGUGAAAUCCCCGGGCUUAACCUGGGAACUGCAUUUGUGACUGCACGGCUAGAGUACUGCAGAGGGGGAUGGAAUUCCGCGUGUAACAGUGGAAUGCGCACAUAUGCGGAGGAACACCGAUGGCGAAUGCAGUCCCCUGGGCCAGUACUGACGCUCAUGCACGAAAGCGUGGGGAGCA
rnacentral:rRNA from 1 species